GAAUUAAUGCUCAAAAAGCAAAAAGAAAAAAAAAAGAAAAAAAGAAAGAAAGAAAAAAGUUUACCACUCUUACUAGGUUUCAGGGAAGCCUUUUCAGGGACCCAACACCCCCAUCCUGAAUAGAUCUGAGUCAGUAUUCACCAGUGCACAGGGAGUCUGGGCAUCCCAGACCUGGGGACUGUGUGUUUGACAGAAAGGAGGCAUGAGAAGGCACAUGUUUUUGCUUUUUGCAGCUGGGAAUGGAGUGACCAUCGGGUGAGGAGUAAGAGACUUGGAAAAGAUGAGAUCAGAUAAUAUGAGGCAUUGUGUCUACUGAGAACUUACUUUAAUAAUCAGUUGGAUGGUGUAUAAGAUUUUAUAGAAGAGAAUUACAUAGGAUUUGACUAUUAGAAACAGGACCCUGGCAGUAACUGGCAGGAUGGGUUCCAGAACAAGGGGACUAAUAAUUAUAAUAAUUACUAGCUGUCACUCUGAAUCUGGCACUGUGUGAGUGGUUUUCAUAGAUUCCAUGAUUUAAUCACAGAAAACUCUAUGAACAAAGUACAAUUAUUUCCAGUUUGCAGGUGUGAAAAAACCAAGACCCUGACAGGGUAAGUGAUUUGCCCAAGGACUCACAGCUAAAAGAGGUUGAGGCAGAACUGGAACCCAAGCAAACCGGCUAAGGCAGGAUCUUGGUUAGAGAGCUGUUAGGAUGACCUCGGGUUACAGAUGCUGAGGAUGGAAUGAAGGCAAUAGCAGUGGAGCUUGUAAAGAAAGAACCAGCCUCAGCUUUGUAUCCUUGAGG
rnacentral:lncRNA from 1 species